rnacentral:rRNA from 1 species
GUGAGGAAUAUUGGUCAAUGGACGGAAGUCUGAACCAGCCAUGCCGCGUGCAGGAAUAAGGUCCUAUGGAUUGUAAACUGCUUUUAUUCGGGAAUAAACCUCUUUACGUGUAGGGAGCUGAAGGUACCGAAGGAAUAAGCACCGGCUAACUCCGUGCCAGCAGCCGCGGUAAUACGGAGGGUGCAAGCGUUAUCCGGAAUCAUUGGGGUUAAAGGGUCCGCAGGCGGGCUAUCAAGUCAGAGGUGAAAUCCCACAGCUUAACUGUGGAACUGCCUUUGAAACUGAUGGUCUUGAAUUAAGUGGGCGUUGGCGGAAUAUGACAUGUAGCGGUGAAAUGCAUAGAUAUGUCAUGGAACACCGAAAGCGAAGGCAGCUAACGAUACUUAUAUUGACGCUCAUGGACGAAAGCGUGGGUAGCGAACAGGAUUAGAAACCCCAGUAGUCC